rnacentral:rRNA from 1 species
GAUGAACGCUGGCGGCGUGCCUAAUACAUGCAAGUCGAGCGAACAGACGAGGAGCUUGCUCCUCUGACGUUUGCGGCGGACGUGUGAGUAACACGUGGAUAACCUACCUAUAAUACUGGGAUAACUUCGGGAAACCGGAGCUAAUUCCGGAUAAUAUAUUGAACCGCAUUGUUCAAUAGUGAAAGACGGUUUUGCUGUCACUUAUAGAUGGAUCCGCGCCGCAUUAGCUAGUUGGUAAGGUAACGGCUUACCAAGGCAACGAGGCGUAGCCGACCUGCGAGGGUGAUCGGCCACACUGGAACUGAGACACGGUCGAGACUCCUACGGGAGGCAGCAGUAGGGAAUCUGCCGCAAUGGGCGAAAGGCUGACGGAGCAACGCCGCGUGAGUGAUGAAGGUCUUCGGAUCGUAAAACUCUGUUAUUAGGGAAGAACAAAUGUGUAAGUAACUAUGCACGUCUUGACGGUACCUAAUCAGAAAGCCACGGCUAACUACGUG